AUUGAUGGCUGGAAUGAAUGAAUAUACGAGAGCUCAACUGUCUCAUUUUUACAAAUAUAAAUUGACCCUCAAGUGAAGAGACUUGAAUCUUUAAAAAAGACGAAAAGACCCUAUAGAGCUUUACCUAAAGUUUAUAUUAUAUAAACUAAAGGUUUAGUUGGGGCAACUAGAGAGCACCUAAAACCUCUCUUUAAACCUACUAAUAAUGAUCCGUUUUUACGAUAAGUAGAAAAAGCUACCUUAGGGAUAACAGGCUAAUCCUCUUUAAGAGACCAUAUUGACAAGAGGGA
rnacentral:rRNA from 1 species